AUCUUCAGAACUGGCAAUAUAUGAAACAACAACAGUAAUGUCAUCAAGCUUGCCACCAUAAUAGCGAAAUCCAGCAUCUUGGGCAGCAGUGGAAAAUGGGGUUUGCCUGUCUUUAUCUUGUGCUCGUUGUCGUGCCAAUGCAGCUAUUUUCUGUGCUGUCACCUGAGGCCCUAAGGCAGCUCUUGUCGCAUGAACCACCACUGCAUUAAUCUCAUUGUUGUACAAGUUGUCAAACAAACCAUCUGUUCCAGCAACUAUAACAUCCCCAGGAGCAACAGCAAUUGUAAAAACCUGACCAGAGCUAGGUAGAUCACCAUUGUUUCCACUCUCUAGUUGAUAGGUGAAAUUAAAAUCAUGCUGCUGCACAGGAGAGCGGAAUACAGUGCAUCCAUCUCGAACCACUAUAAAACCACUAUCCCCUAAAUUGAUAGCGUGGAGACCCUCAUCUGUGAGUGCUAUGAUACAGGCUGUUGAGGAACCCUUGGCUUUUGUGCUAGAGUGAGCUUUCUCUAAGACCCUUGCUGGGUCAAUUAAACCUUUGGGUUCCUGUUGAAUAGCAGAUACUGAAUUAGACAUAAGUUCACGAGAAUACUGCCCUGCAUCAAUGCCAAGAUCUGCCCAACCACCAACACCGUCAGCCACACCUAUUGCUUGUUCAUUUGAACAAAUGAAAUGAGCAUCCUCUCCCCCUGUUUCUUCCUUAUCAGGAUGGGGCAGGUAGCAAGAUCCUGAGAUUAGCUUCAGUGUUUUGCCAGCAGAACUCUUCUGUUCUGAGGAAACUGCAGAAGUUUCAAGCUGUUCCUCAUGGGCAGAAUUCUCAAAGGUUAUAUCAGGUGCAGUUCCAGCUGACAAACAUGAAGGAGUUGAGCUGUGGAAAUAUCUAGAUCCUGUCUCUAUGUAUGGAGAAAAGUCACACCAUUUCUUCAUGAUAUUGUAGCCAAAAUAUCCAUAAAUGGGAGAAUCGGUGGAUUGCUUUCUGUUCUUCAAACUCAUACUGACAUUUCUGUAACUCUGGGAACUUCUACUGUCAUAAGAGAUGCUGGCUUUGUUGGUUGAAAAUGGAAGAUGCCCACCCCUUGAAGUUAGAUUCUCCUGGAAAUAUUCAAUUAUAGCCCUGGACGUACAGGUGGCCAUUAGCUUAUUCUGCAAUUUCCCACUGCCUGGUGUUUGACUAGUAUGACAAAGGGCGCGGUCAAUGUGAUACCCACAAACCUGAACUGAAGGGCCUGAUACAGAAGGUACAGAAAAUGUGCGAGAAAGUGCUCCAACAACAGAGAUAUUCCUUCUACGAUUAACUAAUUGCGAAUCAAAUUGAGCAGCAACAAGAGUACCAGGUCUCAAAAGUGCAUGUAUGUCUUCAAGCGAAACAAUUCGUGCAGAAUGAAAUAAUCUAUAACUGUAAAACCGAGACUUUGCCUGGCCGACUAGAGUUUCAGUUAAAUCUUG
rnacentral:misc_RNA from 1 species